AGUCUGACGGAGCAACGCCGCGUGAGUGAUGACGGCCUUCGGGUUGUAAAGCUCUGUUAAUCGGGACGAAAGGCCUUCUUGCGAACAGUUAGAAGGAUUGACGGUACCGGAAUAGAAAGCCACGGCUAACCACGUGCCAGCAGCCGCGGUAAUACGUAGGUGGCAAGCGUUGUCCGGAAUUAUUGGGCGUAAAGCGCGCGCAGGCGGAUCAGUCAGUCUGUCUUAAAAGUUCGGGGCUUAACCCCGUGAUGGGAUGGAAACUGCUGAUCUAGAGUAUCGGAGAGGAAAGUGGAAUUCCUAGUGUAGCGGUGAAAUGCGUAGAUAUUAGGAAGAACACCAGUGGCGAAGGCGACUUUCUGGACGAAAACUGACGCUGAGGCGCGAAAGCCAGGGGAGCGAACGGGAUUAGAUACCCCGGUAGUCCUGGCCGUAAACGAUGGGUACUAGGUGUAGGAGGUAUCGACCCCUUCUGUGCCGGAGUUAACGCAAUAAGUACCCCGCCUGGGGAGUACGACCGCAAGGUUGAAACUCAAAGGAAUUGACGGGGGCCCGCACAAGCGGUGGAGUAUGUGGUUUAAUUC
rnacentral:rRNA from 1 species